UGCGUAGGUGGGCAGGUAAGUCAGUGGUGAAAUCUCCGGGCUUAACUCGGAAACUGCCAUUGAUACUAUCUGUCUUGAAUACCGUGGAGGUCAGCGGAAUAUGUCAUGUAGCGGUGAAAUGCUUAGAUAUGACAUAGAACACCAAUUGCGAAGGCAGCUGGCUACACGAAUAUUGACACUGAUGCACGAAAGCGUGGGGAUCAAACA
rnacentral:rRNA from 1 species